AAAAAAAACAAAAAACAAAAAACAAAAACCCUAGAAAACAUUUCUCAGGAAGCAGCCUCAUUCUUUUUGAGACAGGGUCUCGCUCUGUCACCCAGUGGCAUGAUCUCGGCUCACUGCAGCCUCCACCUCCCAGGUUCAAGCAAUUCUCCCACCUCAGCCUCCUGAGUAACUGGGAUAACAGGGGCGCACCACCACUCGAGCUAAUUUUUGCAUUUUUAGUAGAGACGGGGUUUUACCUUGUUGGCCAG
rnacentral:lncRNA from 10 species